rnacentral:rRNA from 2 species
GUGAUGAAGGCUUUCGGGUCGUAAAACUCUGUUGUUAGGGAAGAACAAGUGCUAGUUGAAUAAGCUGGCACCUUGACGGUACCUAACCAGAAAGCCACGGCUAACUACGUGCCAGCAGCCGCGGUAAUACGUAGGUGGCAAGCGUUAUCCGGAAUUAUUGGGCGUAAAGCGCGCGCAGGUGGUUUCUUAAGUCUGAUGUGAAAGCCCACGGCUCAACCGUGGAGGGUCAUUGGAAACUGGGAGACUUGAGUGCAGAAGAGGAAAGUGGAAUUCCAUGUGUAGCGGUGAAAUGCGUAGAGAUAUGGAGGAACACCAGUGGCGAAGGCGACUUUCUGGUCUGUAACUGACACUGAGGCGCGAAAGCGUGGGGAGCAAACAGGAUUAGAUACCCUGGUAGUCCACGCCGUAAACGAUGAGUGCUAAGUGUUAGAGGGUUUCCGCCCUUUAGUGCUGAAGUUAACGCAUUAAGCACUCCGCCUGGGGAGUACGGCCGCAAGGCUGAAACUCAAAGAAAAWUU